rnacentral:rRNA from 1 species
UACAGAGGGUGCGAGCGUUAAUCGGAGUUACUGGGCGUAAAGGGCGCGUAGGCGGUUAGAUGGGUGUGAUGUGAAAGCCCCAGGCUUAACCUGGGAAGUGCAUCGCAAACUAUGUAACUGGAGUAUAUGAGAGGGUGGCGGAAUUUCCGGUGUAGCGGUGAAAUGCGUAGAGAUCGGAAGGAACGUCAAUGGCGAAGGCAGCCACCUGGCAUAAUACUGACGCUGAGGCGCGAAAGCGUGGGGAGCGAACAGG